rnacentral:lncRNA from 1 species
AGGGACCGUUCAAUAUUUAUCAGAUGGAUGGGCCGGUGCAAAAUGGGGCGAGACAAGCACUUUUUUUGUGGAAAUAUUUGGAUGGGCAAGAACUUUUUUUUAAAUAUUUAGUGGAUGGGCCAGAACAUAUUUUAUAGGAAAAAUUUUGUUAUCAAUUUUAUUGGUUUGUAGGAUAUUUCUUUUGCGGGCACUCAAAACAUGUCUCAACAAACUGGUAGCUUGGCUCAUUUCUG